UUGGAGGGCAAGUCUGGUGCCAGCAGCCGCGGUAAUUCCAGCUCCAAUAGCGUAUAUUAAAGUUGUUGCAGUUAAAAAGCUCGUAGUUGAAUUUCGGGAUUCAUCCGUUGGUCGGGCUUCACGGUCCGUACUGGUGUGAUGGGUUCCUACCUUCUGAAUAACCGGCAUGCCAUUAAUUUGGUGCGCCGGGGAAGCAGAACUAUUACCUUGAAAAAAUUAGAGUGCUUAAAGCAGGCAAGUGUCUGAAUAGGUUAGCAUGGAAUAAUAAAAUAGGACGGCAUGGUUCUAUUUUGUUGGUUUCUAGGAUCACCGUAAUGAUUAAUAGGGAUAGUUGGGGGCAUUAGUAUUCAAUUGUCAGAGGUGAAAUUCUUGGAUUUAUUGAAGACUAACUUCUGCGAAAGCAUUUGCCAAGGAUGUUUUCAUUAAUCAAGAACGAAAGUUAGGGGAUCGAAGACGAUCAGAUACCGUCGUAGUCUUAACCAUAAACUAUGCCGACUAGGGAUCGGACGAUGUUAAUUUUUUAAUGACUCGUUCGGCGCCUUACGGGAAAC
rnacentral:rRNA from 1 species